UACGGGGGGAGCAAGCGUUGUUCGGAUUUACUGGGCGUAAAGGGCGCGUAGGCGGCGCAACAAGUCACUUGUGAAAUCUCCGGGCUUAACCCGGAGCGGCCAAGUGAUACUGUCGUGCUAGAGUGCGGAAGGGGCUACUGGAAUUCUCGGUGUAGCGGUGAAAUGCGUAGAUAUCAGGAGGAACACCGGUGGCGAAGGCGGCUCUCUGGACGGAUACUGACGCUGAGGCGCGAAAGCGUGGGGAUCAAACAGG
rnacentral:rRNA from 1 species